GGCCGGAUGAUGAAAUUGGUAGACAUGAAGGACUUAAAAUCCUUUGGACAGCAAUGUCCGUGUGGGUUCAAAUCCCACUCCGGCUACCA
rnacentral:tRNA from 1 species